GGCUCGGCCUCGCCCAGCCAUGGCGAGGCUCGGGCUCGCCGAGAUCCGGCGAGCCCGAGCCUCGCCGUGGCUGGGCGAGGCUACCGG
rnacentral:pre_miRNA from 1 species